AAUAGGAAUAGGAAUUUGUGGUGAAUGUGCAAAUGUCUAAUAAGAACUAGAAAUUGAAUUUCCCUCAGAAAACGCGUGUGAAUGCUGACGGCUGAAUGAAAAGCGCCGAGCAUUGCUGAAAACAAAAAAUUGAGGACCGACCACUCUGCUCUCCAGUGGCUCAUGACCUUCAAAGAGCCGGAAGGACAGGUGGCCAGGUGGUUGGAGGAACUCCAGGCCUACGUCUUCAGAGUGGAACACCGGGCUGGAGCCCGACACGCCAACGCCGACGCACUCUCUCGGCGACCCUGCGCUGCCGAGGGGUGUCGCUGCUGCGAGAGGAAGGAGGCCCGCGAGAGAGAACUGCGGGCAGAGGAGGAGGGAUGCGCCGCGGUGCAGCAGUUGGAGGUCGUCUGCCGAGGGCUGGAGACCAUAGAUGGAGGCGCAGCGAAAACCACCGUGGGAAGAGGUGGCCGCCCACUCCAGAGUUGUCAAGGGACCGUGGGCCCAGUUCGGGGUCCUGCGCGCCUCUGCCGGGGCGUGCUGCAGCAGGCCUGGAAGGAGCCGGCCACGGGCGAAGAGAGGUG
ensembl:lncRNA